rnacentral:rRNA from 1 species
CUACGGAGGGUGCAAGCGUUACUCGGAAUCACUGGGCGUAAAGCGCGCGCAGGCGGCUAUUUAAGUUGGAUGUGAAAGCCUACGGCUCAACCGUAGAACUGCAUCCAAAACUAUUUAGUUAGAGUGUGGGAGAGGAAGAUGGAAUUAGUUGUGUAGGGGUAAAAUCCGUAGAGAUAACUAGGAAUACCAAAAGCGAAGGCAAUCUUCUGGAACACUACUGACGCUGAGGCGCGAAAGCGUGGGGAGCAAACAGGAUUAGAAACCCUAGUAGUCC